CUCGGAGUUUGAUCCUGGCUCAGAUUGAACGCUGGCGGAAUGCUUUACACAUGCAAGUCGAACGGUAGAGGGGGCAACCCCUCGAGAGUGGCGAACGGGUGAGUAAUACAUCGGAACGUGCCCAGUCGUGGGGGAUAACGUAGUGAAAUUACGCUAAUACCGCAUACGAUCUAAGGAUGAAAGCGGGGGAUCGCAAGACCUCGCGCGAUUGGAGCGGCCGAUAUCAGAUUAGGUAGUUGGUGAGGUAAAGGCUCACCAAGCCAACGAUCUGUAGCUGGUCUGAGAGACGACCAGCCACACUGGAACUGAGACACGGUCCAGACUCCGUACGGGAGGCAGCGAGUGGGGUAACUUUUGGACAAGUGGGCGCAAG
rnacentral:rRNA from 1 species